rnacentral:rRNA from 1 species
CUUCGGAGUUAGUGGCGGACGGGUGAGUAACACGUGGGAACGUGCCUUUAGGUUCGGAAUAACUCAGGGAAACUUGUGCUAAUACCGAAUGUGCCCUUCGGGGGAAAGAUUUAUCGCCUUUAGAGCGGCCCGCGUCUGAUUAGCUAGUUGGUGAGGUAAAGGCUCACCAAGGCGACGAUCAGUAGCUGGUCUGAGAGGAUGAUCAGCCACAUUGGGACUGAGACACGGCCCAAACUCCUACGGGAGGCAGCAGUGGGGAAUCUUGCGCAAUGGGCGAAAGCCUGACGCAGCCAUGCCGCGUGAAUGAUGAAGGUCUUAGGAUUGUAAAAUUCUUUCACCGGGGACGAUAAUGACGGUACCCGGAGAAGAAGCCCCGGCUAACUUCGUGCCAGCAGCCGCGGUAAUACGAAGGGGGCUAGCGUUGCUCGGAAUUACUGGGCGUAAAGGGAGCGUAGGCGGACAUUUAAGUCAGGGGUGAAAUCCCGGGGCUCAACCUCGGAAUUGCCUUUGAUACUGGGUGUCUUGAGUAUGAGAGAGGUGUGUGGAACUCCGAGUGUAGAGGUGAAAUUCGUAGAUAUUCGGAAGAACACCAGUGGCGAAGGCGACACACUGGCUCAUUACUGACGCUGAGGCUCGAAAGCGUGGGGAGCAAACAGGAUUAGAUACCUGGUAGUCCACGCCGUAAACGAUGAUUGCUAGUUGUCGGGAUGCAUGCAUUUCGGUGACGCACUNACGCAUUAACAAUCCGCCUGGGGGAGUACGGCCCAAGAUUAAAACUCAAAGGAAUUG